rnacentral:misc_RNA from 1 species
UUUUAAAUAACAUCUAACAUACUUCAUAUGAAUACAGCAAGCAGUGGAUUGCGACUUAAUUCUUACAGAAUAUAGAAUGAUUUUGUAAUGUUGUAAAUACAAAAUGUAUUCAAUUUGUAAAAGUACUCAUCCAGCUACAGGUGUAGAACAUGCAAUAACAUGUUAUUUCUUUAAUCGUUCAGAAAAAUGUCUUGUAGUAGCUGGUGCAAACAUUAUCAGAGUAUUUCGUUUAAUUCCAGACGUGGAUAUUACAAAAAAAGAAAAAUAUACAGAAUCACGUCCACCGAAAAUGAAAUUAGAAUGUUUAUCUCAAUAUACUUUACAUGGAAAUGUCAUGUCAAUGCAAGCUGUAACUCUUGUUGGAUCACAAAGAGAUUCUCUUUUAUUAAGUUUUCGUGAUGCAAAAUUAUCUGUUGUAGAAUAUGAUCAAGAUACACAUGAUCUUAGAACAGUAUCUUUACAUUAUUUUGAAGAAGAAGAAAUACGAGAUGGAUGGACAAAUCAUCAUCAUAUUCCCAUAGUUAGAGUAGAUCCUGAAGGUAGAUGUGCAGUGAUGUUAAUAUAUGGUAGAAAAUUAGUUGUAUUACCUUUUAAAAAGGAUCCAAGUCUUGAUGAUGGAGAUUUGUUAGAUAAUUCAAAAGCAUCAUCUAAUAAAACUCCUAUAUUAUCAUCAUAUAUGAUUGUACUAAAAUGUUUAGAAGAAAAAAUGGAUAAUAUAAUAGAUUUGCAAUUUUUACAUGGUUAUUAUGAACCAACAUUAUUAAUAUUAUAUGAACCAGUAAGAACAUUUUCUGGCCGCAUUGCAGUUAGACAAGAUACUUGUGCUAUGGUUGCAAUAUCAUUAAAUAUUCAACAAAGAGUACAUCCUAUAAUUUGGUCUGUAUCAAAUUUACCAUUUGAUUGUUAUCAAGCAGUACCAGUCAAAAAACCACUUGGUGGCACCUUAAUUAUGGCAGUUAAUUCUCUUAUUUAUUUAAAUCAAAGUAUACCACCAUAUGGAGUAUCUCUAAAUAGUUUAGCAGAAACAAGUACAAAUUUUCCAUUAAAACCACAAGAAGGGGUAAAAAUAAGUUUGGAAGGUUCACAAGUUGCAUUUAUAUCUUCAGAUCGUUUAGUUAUUUCAUUAAAAAGUGGAGAAUUGUAUGUAUUAUCUUUAUUCGCAGAUAGUAUGCGUUCAGUAAGAGGUUUUCAUUUUGACAAAGCUGCAGCAAGUGUAUUAACAUCUUGUGUAUGCAUGUGUGAAGAUAAUUAUUUGUUUUUGGGAUCACGACUUGGUAAUUCCUUGUUAUUAAGAUUUACUGAAAAAGAACCAGAAAAUUUGCAAAAUACAAAUGAGAAUGAAAUAGUACUUGAAGAAAAUGAAACUGAAGAAACUCCAGCAAAAAAAAUAAAACAAGAUUUUAUAGGAGAUUGGAUGGCAUCUGAUGUAUUAGAUAUAAAAGAUCCAGAAGAAUUAGAAGUAUAUGGAAGUGAAACACAUACUUCUAUUCAGAUUACAUCAUAUAUAUUUGAGGUAUGUGAUAGUUUAUUAAAUAUUGGACCUUGUGGUAAUAUAUCAAUGGGUGAACCAGCUUUUUUAUCAGAAGAAUUUUCACAUAAUCAAGAUCCUGAUGUUGAACUUGUCACAACUUCUGGUUAUGGUAAAAAUGGAGCACUUUGUGUUCUUCAACAUUCUAUUCGACCACAAGUUGUGACUACAUUUGAAUUACCAGGAUGUGAAGAUAUGUGGACUGUUAUUGGUACAUUAAAUAAUGACGAACAAAUAAGACCUGAAGCAGAAGGAAGUCAUGCUUUUUUAAUUUUAAGUCAAGAAGAUUCAACAAUGAUAUUACAAACUGGCCAGGAAAUUAAUGAAGUAGAUCAAAGUGGAUUCAGUACACAGGGAAGUACAAUAUUUGCUGGAAAUCUUGGUGCAAAUAGAUACAUAGUUCAAGUUACUCAAAUGGGUGUUCGUCUUCUACAAGGAAUUGAACAAAUCCAACAUAUGCCAAUUGAUCUUGGAUGUCCAAUUGUCCAUGCAAGUUGUGCAGAUCCUUAUGUGACAUUACUUUCUGAAGAUGGUCAAGUUAUGUUAUUAACUCUUAGAGAAGGACGUGGAACGGCAAGAUUGCAUGCUCAAACAGCUAACUUAUUAUUUCGACCUCAAAUAGAAGCACUAUGUGCUUAUAGGGAUGUUAGUGGAAUAUUUACAACACAAUUACCUGAAAAUGUAGAAGAUGAAGUACCUGAAGAAGAACAUAAUAUAGAAGAACCACCUAUUGUUGGUAAUAUUGAUAAUGAAGAUGACCUAUUGUAUGGUGAUGCACCAGCUUUUCAAAUGCCUACACCGUCACAUACUAAAUCAUCUGAAGGAAUAUUUAAAAGAACACCUUGGUGGCAAAAACAUUUACAAGAAAUAAAACCAACAUAUUGGUUAUUAGUAUAUAGAGAUAGUGGAACUCUGGAAAUUUAUUCUCUUCCUGAUUUACGCUUAUCCUAUCUUAUUCGUAAUUUUGGAUAUGGACAAUAUGUAUUGCAUGAUAGCAUGGAAUCUACAACAUUACAAACAACGCCUGUUAAUGAAAUUCCUAAUCCUGAAAUGCAGGUACGUGAAAUUUUAAUGGUAGCAUUAGGUCAUCAUGGAAAUAGACCAAUGUUAUUAGUACGACUUGAUUCUGAACUUCAAAUUUAUCAAGCAUAUAGAUAUCCAAAAGGUCAUUUAAAAUUAAGAUUUAAAAAGUUAGAUCAUGGUAUAAUACCAGGACACUUAAGACCAAGACCAAGGGAUGAAGAUAUGCCUGCAAUGAAUGAUACUCGACAUUGCAUGAUGCGUUAUUUUAGUAAUAUCGCUGGAUACAAUGGUGUAUUUAUUUGUAGUGAUUAUCCGCAUUGGAUAUUUCUCACAGGACGUGGCGAAUUACGUACACAUCCAAUGGGUAUUGAUGGCCCAGUUACCUCAUUUGCACCUUUUAAUAAUAUAAAUUGUCCACAAGGUUUUCUAUAUUUUAAUAGAAAGGAAGAAUUAAGAAUAUGUGUUUUGCCAACUCAUUUAUCAUAUGAUGCUCCAUGGCCUGUUAGAAAAGUACCAUUACGAUGUACACCACAUUUUGUUACAUAUCAUCUUGAAAGUAAAACUUAUUGUGUCAUAACAAGUAUAGCUGAACCACUUAAAAGUUAUUACAGAUUUAAUGGUGAAGAUAAGGAGUUUACAGAAGAAGAACGACCUGAUAGAUUUAUUUAUCCUUCACAAGAACAAUUUUCAAUAGUACUAUUUUCACCUGUUUCAUGGGAAACAAUUCCUAACACUAAAAUUGAACUUGAUCAAUGGGAACAUGUUACUUGUUUAAAAAAUGUUUCUUUAGCUUAUGAAGGUACACGAUCUGGUUUAAAGGGUUAUAUAGUAUUGGGAACAAAUUAUAAUUAUGGAGAAGAUAUUACAAGCAGAGGAAGGAUACUCAUAUUUGAUAUAAUUGAAGUUGUACCUGAACCUGGUCAACCAUUAACAAAAAAUAGAUUUAAACAAAUUUAUGCGAAAGAACAAAAAGGUCCCAUAACUGCAAUUACACAAGUAUCUGGCUUUUUAGUCUCAGCAGUUGGUCAAAAAAUUUAUAUUUGGCAAUUGAAAGAUAAUGAUCUUGUUGGAGUUGCUUUCAUAGAUACGCAAAUUUAUAUCCAUCAAAUGUUAAGUAUUAAAAGCUUAAUUUUAAUAGCUGAUGUAUAUAAAUCUAUUAGUUUAUUAAGAUUUCAAGAGGAAUAUAGAACAUUAUCUCUUGUUAGUAGAAAUCGCGAGAAAGUCUCGGAGGACAAAAAUUAAUUAGAAAAGCCGAUUUUCAUCUUGGCCAAAAAGUAAAUACAUUUUUCCGUAUAAGAUGUAGAAUUUCGGAUCCAGCGAAUGAUAAAAAGCAUUUUUCUGAUGCAGAUAAAAGACAUGUUACAAUGUAUGCAUCACUUGAUGGCAAUCUUGGUUACAUUUUACCUGUACCAGAAAAAACAUACCGAAGAUUACUUAUGUUACAAAAUGUCUUAGUAACACACAUUUGUCAUAUUGCUGGUUUAAAUCCUAAAGCAUAUCGUACUUAUAAAAGUCACAUUCGAACUCAGGGUAAUCCUGCAAGAGGUAUAAUUGAUGGAGAUUUAGUUUGGCGUUAUCUGUAUUUACCUAACAAUGAAAAAAUAGAUGUAGC